rnacentral:pre_miRNA from 8 species
UGACGGGACAUUAUUACUUUUGGUACGCGCUGUGACACUUCAAACUCGUACCGUGAGUAAUAAUGCGCUGUCA